UGUGCCCAGAUGGGAUUAGCUAGUAGGUGGGGUAACGGCUCACCUAGGCGACGAUACAUAGCCGACCUGAGAGGGUGACCGGCCACACUGGGACUGAGACACGGCCCAGACUCCUACGGGAGGCAGCAGUAGGGAAUCUUCGGCAAUGGGGGCAACCCUGACCGAGCAACGCCGCGUGAGUGAAGAAGGUUUUCGGAUCGUAAAGCUCUGUUGUAAGUCAAGAACGAGUGUGAGAGUGGAAAGUUCACACUGUGACGGUAGCUUACCAGAAAGGGACGGCUAACUACGUGCCAGCAGCCGCGGUAAUACGUAGGUCCCGAGCGUUGUCCGGAUUUAUUGGGCGUAAAGCGAGCGCAGGCGGUUUGAUAAGUCUGAAGUUAAAGGCUGUGGCUCAACCAUAGUUCGCUUUGGAAACUGUCAAACUUGAGUGCAGAAGGGGAGAGUGGAAUUCCAUGUGUAGCGGUGAAAUGCGUAGAUAUAUGGAGGAACACCGGUGGCGAAAGCGGCUCUCUGGUCUGUAACUGACGCUGAGGCUCGAAAGCGUGGGGAGCGAACAGGAUUAGAUACCCUGGUAGUCCACGCCGUAAACGGUGGAUGCUGGAUGUGGGGCCCGUUCCACGGGUUCCGUGUCGGAGCUAACGCGUUAAGCAUCCCGCCUGGGGAGUACGGCCGCAAGGCUAAAACUCAAAGAAAUUGACGGGGGCCCGCACAAGCGGCGGAGCAUGCGGAUUAAUUCGAUGCAACGCGAAGAACCUUACCUGGGCUUGACAUGUUCCCGACAGCCGUAGAGAUAUGGCCUCCCUUCGGGGCGGGUUCACAGGUGGUGCAUGGUCGUCGUCAGCUCGUGUCGUGAGAUGUUGGGUUAAGUCCCGCAACGAGCGCAACCCUCGCCCUGUGUUGCCAGCACGUCAUGGUGGGAACUCACGGGGGACCGCCGGGGUCAACUCGGAGGAAGGUGGGGAUGACGUCAGAUCAUCAUGCCCCUUACGUCCAGGGCUUCACGCAUGCUACAAUGGCCGGUACAACGGGAUGCGACACGGCGACGUGGAGCGGAUCCCUGAAAACCGGUCUCAGUUCGGAUUGGAGUCUGCAACCCGACUCCAUGAAGGCGGAGUCGCUAGUAAUCGCGGAUCAGCAACGCCGCGGUGAAUGCGUUCCCGGGCCUUGUACACACCGCCCGUCAAGUCAUGAAAGUGGGUAGCACCCGAAGCCGGUGGCCUAACCCUUUGUGGAUGGAGCCGUCUAAGGUGAGACUCGUGAUUGGGACUAAGUCGUAACAAGGUAGCCGUACCGGAAGGUGCGGCUG
rnacentral:rRNA from 1 species